rnacentral:lncRNA from 1 species
UAAAAAUAAAAUAAAAUAAAAUAAAAAAAAUAAAGGCAGGUUGAAAAGUCUCCAGGACAGGUUUAAACUGGUCCUUCAUGUAACAAGGAAAAAGUUUAUUGUAGGUUAAAAAAAUAAAAAAAAAUCCCCGUAGUGGAAGAAACACCCUCAUGUGGAUUCAUAUUACGUUGUCAUGCAUUAUUUAUACAUACACCUGCAUGCUUCAAACAUGAUUUACAGGAAAAGUGUGUGGAGGACUGGCCUGAACACAGUCCAGAACUUUCUCCAGAAUGGAAACCAGCUGGCAAGCUCAGGCUUCGGAGAGACUCAGUACGGAUUACAGAGGCGUCUGAUGGAGGCGCUGAUCUGAAGAAGAACGGGAAGCAGACUCUGGGAAGGAAACUGAGACACUCGCUGCUGAUCAGGAGGAGCUCAAAGGUAAAUAAAGACAAAUCAUGACGCUUGCUGAAGGAGAAGUGUGUGAUUUAUCCGCCACUACACUACUAGAAAAAUAUGAAAAAUUCAAAAGAUGUUAAAUCUGUUAAAUUCAAUUAAAAUUAAAAAGAUGUUGGUAAUUUUCUGUCAGGACAUUGUCUGUUAAGUUUAAGAACAAUUCCUUUAACCCCAAAACACAACAUAAUGUAUAAAAAAAUAUUUCUG